rnacentral:tRNA from 1 species
AUUUAAAUAGCUUAUAUUUAGAGCAUAGCAUUGAAGAUGCUAAGGUAAUUUUAUAUUUUUAGAUA